CUCUUUCUCCAUCCGCCGCCAGCACGCCUCGCCUCUCUUCGGCCCCAUCCUCCGCCUCCGCCUCCACCUCUCCGCCCGAGAUCCAUGGCUACAGCGGUUGCACCGGCCCGAUGUAAGAGGCGGCCAACCCUAGCCGCUAUGGCGCCCCACUGCUGCUCACGACCUGGGCCAUGGAUCUGCGACACAGGCCUCCCUCCUUCUCCCAGGAGGCGCAGCUACCUUGCCAUCUGAAGAUUUGGAGCAGCAAGCGCCGGAUGAGGAGAGGACGACGACCGUGACCUGCGGGAGGCCCGAGCUCGACCUCUCCGGCGACGUCAACGCCCCGCACAAGAUCAGCAGGACAUCUACGCCUCUUCAGUUCAACGGAAGGCGACCACCGGGACCCCACGCUCUAGCCCGACGAGCUAGACGAGCUCGAUGGCCAGGUCCUCCGCCCCAACCAGCACAAUUCCACAGAGAACAAUAAGGUUGACCCUUCUCGCUCUGUUUUUCAUUUCUUUCUAAGUGAUUGCUACUCUGCUCAAGCGUAGUUCUCCACGGGCUAUCCUUUUCUCUUGGACUGAACCUGGCACAGAAAAUGUGGCCACUUUGUUUCCUGGUACUCGUAAGCUACAACCAACGAGAGAUAGUAGGCUGCGUUUGGGAGCCAAAGUAUUUUUGUAGUUUUUAAGUAUUGGUAUAUCUCUAAAACCGUGGUCUUUUUGUAGUAUAUAGAAAAGAGGUCCCGAUCUCUUUUCAAAAAACUGAGAAACGCUUGCUGGGUUGUCACUCUGUCCAUCGACACCUGUGACACAAAAAAUCGAUAGCUAGUCGAUCCAUCUAUCCGGCUACAGGGGCGCACGCACUCAUACAAAUGACUACUUAGUGCCGGCUGAAAACGCAUGCACACAGAGGUGAUUCUAACAGGGGUGUAUCGCUCCAGAUCACUUUGAUGUCUUUGAUAGGUCUGUGAGCAGUCGUAUGGCGCUGGCAAGGAUGGACGAGCGGCAGAUGUGGACUUGCAGUGCAUGUCGUAACUAGCUUGCUCUUUGAUUGAUUGCAAGAGAUAACUCUACUACUACAGAUCCUUCCUACCAUCUAGGAGAAAACAUGCCAGUGCAAGGCUGCAUGCAUACGGUGGCCAUUAGCACGAGUUGAUCCAUGAGUUUAGCUAAGUAUGCAUGCAACAAUGUAACAAUCUGUGCAAACCAAAUAAAAGUGAGAAAAACUGCCACUUGCCAAACACCUCUGCAGUUUUAUCGAAACUGAGAAAAUCUAUGUUUUUCAGAAACUGGAGUAUUUGUUGCCCAUCUAUUGAAAUACUGAGGUGUUGGAAUACUAUGGUUCUGGAAAAAAGGUGUUGCCGAACUAGGCCGUACUGUUUGCUAUUUCCUGUUUCUUCUCUCACCAUGAGAGCACUAGCAGUGUAGAAUUUCUGAGAUCCACUAGUUAGUUAAGAAACUAAUAAUUUAAUAAUUAAAUGCCCAUGAGAUGCUUCUGUUGGUUCCUUGGAUUUUCUUGUUUGUGGAAUAAAAGUAAUUCAUAAAUCUCACUCAAUCAAUUGACCAAGAGUAAGAUUGUUAACUAGCGCUGCUAUUACACUGCUUCUCUGUUAUAUAUAUGUGCAAACUUUCUAUCUGAUAUCAUCAUUUUGUUGAUCAGUCCUCCUAGCCUACUCUUGCUCUUGCGCUAAUUACAUACAAGUUCAGCGUCAGAUCCCUGAAAUGUACUUACUACCAUCAUUUGGUUGCAGCAAAUAGUACAUAUUUUGUUCAUCGCACCUUGUCGUACUCACCGAUAUGGUAUUAUUUGCUGCCAUCUUAGAUUGUAACAAUUGGGUUUAUUUGCUAUUAUUCUUUAAGAUUUUUCUCAUGCUAGUUUUCUGAUUUUUCUAGCCUGAACAGACUAACAAUGAUUUUCGUGGAGACAAAACGAGAAGCUGAUUCAUUGAGAUAUUGGCUAUACAACAGAGGUUUCCUUGCAACGGCGAUCCAUGGUGACAAAACACAGGAGGUAAGAUUGGGAAGUGGGCUACUUGGUGCUGCUCAUCACAAUCAAACAUGAUGGUUGCCAUCAGGAGGGCCGACAGCAAGAACCUAAAUAACAGCCUCAAUAGUUUGUAUGAUCUGUUGAUGUAAAAUGAAUUGUACUCAUGAUGUGUGAUAUAUUUUGUCAAUAUAAAAUGCAAGUUAUCUUUUUUUUGAGGAU